AAGGCAGCAGGCACGCAAAUUACCCACUCCCGGCACGGGGAGGUAGUGACAAAAAAUAACGAUACGGGACUCAUCCGAGGCCCCGUAAUCGGAAUGAGUACACUUUAAAUCCUUUAACAAGGAUCCAAUGGAGGGCAAGUCUGGUGCCAGCAGCCGCGGUAAUUCCAGCUCCAUUAGCGUAUAUUAAAGUUGUUGCGGUUAAAAAGCUCGUAGUUGGUUCUGCGUCCCACGAUGCUGGUUCACCGCCUGACGGUGCAACUGGCAUGCCGUGGGAUGUCCUGUCGGUGGUGGCCUUGGCCCACGGCGCGUGUAGGUACUAUACCGAAGCACGUCGUGUGUGUCCAAGGAUCGCCGAUCCAAUCCUGCCUCGGUGCUUUUUAUCGAGUGUCGAGGUGGGCCGACACGUUUACUUUGAACAAAUUAGAGUGCUCAAAGCAGGCUAAUUAUGCCUGGAUAUUGGUGCAUGGAAUAAUGGAAUAGGACCUCGGUUCUAUUUUGUUGGUUUUCGGAAUCCGAGGUAAUGAUCAAUAUGGACAGGCGGGGGCAUUCGUAUUGCGACGUUAGAGGUGAAAUUCUUGGAUCGUCGCAAGACGGACUAGAGCGAAAGCAUUUGCCAAGUAUGUCUUAGUUGAUCAAGAACGAAAGUUAGAGGUUCGAAGGCGAUCAGAUACCGCCCUAGUUCUAACCAUAAACGAUGCCAGCCAGCGAUCCGCCGAUGUUCCUCCGAUGACUCGG
rnacentral:rRNA from 1 species